rnacentral:rRNA from 1 species
AACGCUAGCUACAGGCUUAACACAUGCAAGUCGAGGGGCAGCAUGAACAUAGCUUGCUAUGUUUGAUGGCGACCGGCGCACGGGUGCGUAACACGUAUCCAAUCUGCCCGUUACUCGGGGAUAGCCUUCUGAAAGGAAGAUUAAUACCCGAUAGCAUUCAUUGGCGGCAUCGCUUUUGAAUUAAAGAUUUAUCGGUAACGGAUGAGGAUGCGUACGAUUAGCUGGUUGGCGGGGUAACGGCCCACCAAGGCGACGAUCGUUAGGGGUUCUGAGAGGAAGGUCCCCCACACUGGAACUGAGACACGGUCCAGACUCCUACGGGAGGCAGCAGUGAGGAAUAUUGGUCAAUGGGCGAGAGCCUGAACCAGCCAAGUAGCGUGAAGGAUGACUGCCCUACGGGUUGUAAACUUCUUUUGUUUGGGAAUAAAAGACGCUACGUGUAGCGUUCUGCAUGUACCUUACGAAUAAGCAUCGGCUAAUUCCGUGCCAGCAGCCGCGGUAAUACGGAAGAUGCGAGCGUUAUCCGGAUUUAUUGGGUUUAAAGGGAGCGUAGGCGGGCUGUUAAGUCAGCGGUAAAAUUUCCAGGCCCAACCUGGUCGUGCCGUUGAAACUGGCGGUCUUGAAUGCACACAAGGGAGAUGGAAUUCGUCGUGUAGCGGUGAAAUGCUUAGAUAUGACGAAGAACUCCGAUUGCGAAGGCAGUUCACUGGGCCGCAACUGACGCUGAAGCUCGAAAGUGCGGGUAUCAAACAGGAUUAGAUACCCUGGUAGUCCGCACCGUAAACGAUGGAUACUCGCUGCUGGCGAUACACAGUCAGUGGCCACGCGAAAGCCUUAAGUAUCCCACCUGGGGAGUACGCCGGCAACGGUGAAACUCAAAGGAAUUGACGGGGGCCCGCACAAGCGGAGGAACAUGUGGUUUAAUUCGAUGAUACGCGAGGAACCUUACCCGGGCUUAAAUUGCAGAGGACAGGCGCAGAGAUGUGCUCUUCUUCGGACCUCUGUGAAGGUGCUGCAUGGUUGUCGUCAGCUCGUGCCGUGAGGUGUCGGCUUAAGUGC